AGGAUGAACGCUGGCGGCGUGCCUAACACAUGCAAGUCGAACGUCCUGUCUCGCAAGAGGCAGGGAGUGGCGGACGGGUGAGUACCACGUGGGUCAUCUACCGUGAGGUGAGGAAUACCGGCGAGAAAUCGCCGACAAGACCGCAUAGGCUCGAUGCAAGUCGAGCAAAGCUCUUUCGAGAGAGGGAGCGCCACACGAGGAGCCUGCGCCCGAUUAGCUAGCUGGUGGAGUAACGGUUCACCAGGGCGACGAUCGGUAGCUGGUCUGAGAGGACGAUCAGCCACACUGGGAUUGAGAACGGCCCAGACUCCUACGGGGGGCAGCAGUGAGGAAUUUUCGUCAAUGGGGGCAACCCUGAACGAGCAACGCCGCGUGCAGGAAGAAGGUUUCGGAUCGUAAACUGCUUUUCUCGGGAAGAGAAUGGACGGUACCCGAGGAAUCAGCCCCGGCUAACUACGCGCCAGCAGCCGCGGU
rnacentral:rRNA from 1 species